UUACUCCCACAAUGGGUUAAUACAACAGUUCUAUGGGGCAAUUAUGGAAGAUUUAGAAUAAGUAGCCCCAAGAAUUAAUAAAUAGAGUACUGGUGUUCUAUAGUGUACUCUUUAUGUACACUACUAUUUGGAUAUAAUAAAAAAAAUAAGAGUGGCUUUUUUAAUUUGUAUUAUAAAUAUCUUGCCUCAUUCUCUUUUAUGUUGUAACUUUUUCCAGUUUUGCUUUUCUUUUUCGUUUGUUCUGCAACUUGACAUACACAGAUCCGCCUGGUAGAAUGUUGAAG
rnacentral:lncRNA from 1 species